rnacentral:piRNA from 1 species
UGGUUGAACUUCCUACUGGGCACUUACCUG